CUAGAAUUUUCCUUCAAAAUUUUCGAAAUUUUUGAUCGGAUAUACUCUCUCUCUUCUCCAUCUCACACACUCACCCCCCCUCUCUCUACCGAUUCACCACCACCAGAGCCCCACCAUCACGCCGUCCCACCACCAACGCCACCCCUCUCUACCACCGAUCAACCACCACCGGAGCCCCAUAGACGCCGCACCACCACCACGAUCUCCUCUCUUUUUCUCCCCUCCAUCUCGCACACUCUUCUCUCGAUGGAUCACCACGGAUGCACGACCACCAUAGAUGCUCUUUCUCACCUGGUUUUGAUCCAUGAAAUAGGAGCACCUUCAGCCUCUCGCCUCGCUGAAAUAUGUUGCUAGCAUAGAUCCUGCUAUAGAGAGAGCGUGUCUGCAUCGCGGGAAGGGUAGGGAGAUGAUGCAUUCUGCUAUUCUUGCUUGAUUGAAUGCAUCUCUAUAGCUCAUGUACACUUGCCAGAAAAACUUAAGAGAAGUUUGCUCGAUACCAUCAAUGAGAACUUAAGACAUCCUAAUUCUCAUAUAUAGGUAUAUCUUAUUCAACUCUUGAACUCUGUCACCGAUAGGCAUAAGAUUGAUCUAUUCAUUCUGCAUUUUCAAUUUAGUUAUUUUUUGCGAUGUCCAGAAUGCUGCUGUUGAGGCCCCAAAACACUUUGUUCUGGCUUACCUUCUCAAUGCAGAAGAUAAAAUUGUUAACAAUUUUGUGUCCAAGUACCUAGAACAGUUGGGGAAUUCUAGUGUGGCUGCAAGAAGAGGGUCUGCAUAGGCAAUCGGUGUACUGCCUUUAAAGUUUCUGGCUACAAGAUGGAAGGCUUUACUAGAUGGGUUUCUGGCUACAAGAUGGAAGAUGUUUCUGGCUUCAAGAUGGAAGGCAAUCGGUGUACCUAGAUGGCUUUUUACCUUGGUGUUGUAAAUGUGUCGCGAUUUUGUUUAUUGUGCUUAAAUUUGUGGCUUAAGUAGUUUGGAAUAUCAAGUUGAAGUAGGCUUUUUUUUUUUUGGAAUAUCAAUGUAUGGCUUAACAACGAUGCUCAGCUUCAUACCCUCCUUUUAAAUGAUAAUUGGGAUGAGAACAGCCCGGUGUAGGCUUAUGGAUUAUAUGUGAAUUUGAAUUGUUGAUAA